CUUAAAAACGUGGAGAGAAAACUGGUUAAAAAGGAAAAGAUCACGCCACCAGUUUGGCAACAAACUAAUCAAUAAUUACCGAUAUCAACUGAUAAGAAACGCUUAUGUCAAGUUCAUCCAGAUGUGGAGCGUCUCUGUAAACCUGUGGAUUAUUUACUGAACUCUGACCCGAUAACGAGGUUCCGGAUGAAACCAGAGACGGCUCGGCUCACAUGAAAAAUGUUUUCCAUCCUGCUCUUCGUCCUCCUCCUCUUCCUCCUCAGCUGCAGUGAGUUCCCGGUGCGGCCAGCAGGGGGCGCACGGCGGCAGCGGCAUCAGGGCGUGACCGGGAGGAAGAGGAGCAGCAGUGAAGGACACGCUGCUGCAUCCAGAGGAGGCACGACGGGGAAAGCUUCUGCUUCUGCUGGUUCUGAUCAACACUUCUCCAGAUUUUAUCUGGACUUCUUCACUCCAGAACCAGAACAUUGUUUAAUUAGCAGAAUUAUAUUUAUAAAUUUAUCAAAUUAGACGCAGAAAAACUCAAUCAGAAAUAAUCUGCUGAAAGAAGUGAAGCUGAAUUUAUUUCUAUCUUUUGUCUCUUCCACCUAUCAGAGGAGGCGCCGGUCCAGGAGGGAAACUGUCGCCAUAGCAACGCCCUCCAGCUCCUCCUGGAGGCCUGUUGAGCUCCUUUAGUCUCCCCAAAGUUAAAUGUUCCCAAACAGUUAAAUGUGUCACUUCUGCAAGUGAGAGAACAGAUCAGCAACCUUCUUUCAGCCAGCUGACUGGCAGUGUGCAGCACCAGCUGUGGGAGGGGCAGCUUUCAAUCAGCUGGAGAAAGUUCUGGUAACUAGAACACUGAACCAUAAGAAGGGCGUGAUGGGUCGUUGGCACAUUCUGCUAAUCGUGAUGCUAGUUUUUCUUUAGCUUUAGCUAACUAGCUAAAAUUUCCAGAUAAAUUCCUGUUUGUAAACAUUCAGUUGAAUGAAGUUUAAUGUCUGGGUCGAA